rnacentral:tRNA from 1 species
AUUUAUUUAAUAUAACUAGUAUAUUUGACUUCCAAUCAAAUAGUUUGUAAUCUACAAAAUAAAUA